UCGGCAUGUGAACGAUUCGCGACGCACAUACUGAGAUGAGAAAAUUUACGUACCACAUAUUUAACCAUGAUCCUUGCAGGAUUACAUCAUCAUGUUCCGAAGGUGUGCACGCAGUCGCCGCUUACUGCCACAUACCACAAGUCGACGGAGGCCUGGUAUUACAGCAAUAAUGCAGGGCGUUGUAAAUCGGUGCCACCUCGCUCUUGCGUUGACGGAGGCAACAGUUUCCCUACUCUGCGUGAAUGCAAAAAAAGGUGUCAACCUAUCAAUAACACGAAGCCUGAAAUAUGUCUAAUGGUGGCCAUGCACACUUGUGGAGAGAGGUAUCCUGCUUGGAGUUUUGAUAUUACUGACAGGCAUUGCAAGAUGCUGGAGCACACUGCUUGCAGAGGAAAGAUAAUGGUCUUCCCAUCGGAGACAGUUUGUCAGGCUAUUUGUUUACCGCAUCAAAUGCCCGAAGCCAUUUGCAGUUGGAAAGCAUAUCCUCAAAAGUGCUCAGCAUUUCACAACAACAGAUGGUUUUUUUCGUUACUCAAAGGCGUCUGUGCUACUCUUCCUAACAAUCUCUGCGUAAGAAGUGGUAACAGCUUCCCGACGCACGCAGCUUGCAUGAAGAGGUGCAGUUAUCACGCACACGGCACACAUUCAUCAAGACCACCCAUGGCGAAGCACGAAUCGAACUACCUCAAGGAAAAGACACAGGAUAGCACGGGCCCUGAUUUCGUGGCAUAUGCAAGCUGUAUUCCAGAGAACCUCUCAUUAAUGGAAUCACAAAUUAAGACAACGAUUUUU